UUAUUUGAGAGUUUGAUCCUGGCUCAGGAUGAACGCUGGCGGCGUGCCUAACACAUGCAAGUUGAGCGAUUUACUUCGGUAAAGAGCGGCGGACGGGUGAGUAACGCGUGGGUAACCUACCCUGUACACACGGAUAACAUACCGAAAGGUAUGCUAAUACGGGAUAAUAUGUUUGAGAGGCAUCUCUUGAAUAUCAAAGGUGAGCCAGUACAGGAUGGACCCGCGUCUGAUUAGCUAGUUGGUAAGGUAACGGCUUACCAAGGCGACGAUCAGUAGCCGACCUGAGAGGGUGAUCGGCCACAUUGGAACUGAGACACGGUCCAAACUCCUACGGGAGGCAGCAGUGGGGAAUAUUGCACAAUGGGCGAAAGCCUGAUGCAGCAACGCCGCGUGAGUGAUGAAGGCCUUCGGGUCGUAAAACUCUGUCCUCAAGGAAGAUAAUGACGGUACUUGAGGAGGAAGCCCCGGCUAACUACGUGCCAGCAGCCGCGGUAAUACGUAGGGGGCUAGCGUUAUCCGGAUU
rnacentral:rRNA from 1 species